GAGAAGCUUGCUUCUUGGGUGGCGAGUGGCGAACGGGUGAGUAACAUAUCGGAACGUACCGAGUAAUGGGGGAUAACUAAUCGAAAGAUUAGCUAAUACCGCAUAUUCUCUGAGGAGGAAAGCAGGGGACCUUCGGGCCUUGCGUUAUUCGAGCGGCCGAUAUCUGAUUAGCUAGUUGGUGGGGUAAAGGCCUACCAAGGCGACGAUCAGUAGCGGGUCUGAGAGGAUGAUCCGCCACACUGGGACUGAGACACGGCCCAGACUCCUACGGGAGGCAGCAGUGGGGAAUUUUGGACAAUGGGCGCAAGCCUGAUCCAGCCAUGCCGCGUGUCUGAAGAAGGCCUUCGGGUUGUAAAGGACUUUUGUCAGGGAAGAAAAGGCUGUUGCUAAUAUCGACAGUUGAUGACG
rnacentral:rRNA from 1 species